rnacentral:rRNA from 1 species
AUUGAACGCUGGCGGCAGGCCUAACACAUGCAAGUCGAGCGGAUGAAGGGAGCUUGCUCCUGGAUUCAGCGGCGGACGGGUGAGUAAUGCCUAGGAAUCUGCCUGGUAGUGGGGGAUAACGUCCGGAAACGGGCGCUAAUACCGCAUACGUCCUGAGGGAGAAAGUGGGGGAUCUUCGGACCUCACGCUGUCAGAUGAGCCUAGGUCGGAUUAGCUAGUUGGUGGGGUAAAGGCCUACCAAGGCGACGAUCCGUAACUGGUCUGAGAGGAUGAUCAGUCACACUGGAACUGAGACACGGUCCAGACUCCUACGGGAGGCAGCAGUGGGGAAUAUUGGACAAUGGGCGAAAGCCUGAUCCAGCCAUGCCGCGUGUGUGAAGAAGGUCUUCGGAUUGUAAAGCACUUUAAGUUGGGAGGAAGGGCAGUAAGCUAAUACCUUGCUGUUUUGACGUUACCAACAGAAUAAGCACCGGCUAACUUCGUG